UACGGGGGGGGCAAGCGUUGUUCGGAAUUACUGGGCGUAAAGGGCUCGUAGGCGGCCAACUAAGUCAGACGUGAAAUCCCUCGGCUUAACCGGGGGAACUGCAUCUGAUACUGGAUGGCUUGAGAUUGGGAGAGGGAUGCGGAAUUCCAGGUGUAGCGGUGAAAUGCGUAGAUAUCUGGAGGAACACCGGUGGCGAAGGCGGCAUCCUGGACCAACACUGACGCUGAGGAGCGAAAGCCAGGGGAGCAAACGGG
rnacentral:rRNA from 1 species